CAGUUUUUGUGUGAGGACACAGUCUUGUAAAAAAAAAAAAAAUCGGUUUCCUAUUGAACAUACUUCUUUCCAAAAUAAAUAUUCUAGUUUGAUUACAUUUUAGGGUGUCUGAGUAGUAAAUACAAAUGUAUUUUGACUUGUUGAAACAAAGUUUAAGGGGUAGAUUUUCGGAUUCCUUUCUCUGCAAGUUGAAUGAGUGGAUUACUCAUUGAUGGCGCCAACUAAACUGACUUUUUUGGGAUAUAAAAAAUGAUUUUAUCUAACAAAACUACAUGCUGGGACCCUCUUGAUGACAAAUCAGAGGAAAAUUUUCAAAAAGUGCAGGGUUCUUCCUUAUGGAGAAGGA
rnacentral:lncRNA from 1 species